AGUGAACGCUGGCGGUAGGCCUAACACAUGCAAGUCGAACGGCAGCACAGUAAGAGCUUGCUCUUACGGGUGGCGAGUGGCGGACGGGUGAGGAAUACAUCGGAAUCUACUUUUUCGUGGGGGAUAACGUAGGGAAACUUACGCUAAUACCGCAUACGACCUACGGGUGAAAGCAGGGGAUCUUCGGACCUUGCGCGAUUGAAUGAGCCGAUGUCGGAUUAGCUAGUUGGCGGGGUAAAGGCCCACCAAGGCGACGAUCCGUAGCUGGUCUGAGAGGAUGAUCAGACACACUGGAACUGAGACACGGUCCAGACUCCUACGGGAGGCAGCAGUGGGGAAUAUUGGACAAUGGGCGCAAGCCUGAUCCAGCCAUACCGCGUGGGUGAAGAAGGCCUUCGGGUUGUAAAGCCCUUUUGUUGGGAAAGAAAGGCAGCAGGUUAAUACCCCGCUGUUCUGACGGUACCCAAAGAAUAAGCACCGGCUAACUUCGUG
rnacentral:rRNA from 1 species